rnacentral:rRNA from 1 species
UCGGGAAUUUUGGGCAAUGGGCGAAAGCCUGACCCAGCAACGCCGCGUGAAGGAUGAAGUAUUUCGGUAUGUAAACUUCGAAAGAAUAGGAAGAAUAAAUGACGGUACUAUUUAUAAGGUCCGGCUAACUACGUGCCAGCAGCCGCGGUAAUACGUAGGGACCAAGCGUUGUUCGGAUUUACUGGGCGUAAAGGGCGCGUAGGCGGCAAUUCAAGUCAUCUGUGAAAUCUCCGGGCUUAACUCGGAACGGUCAGAUGAUACUGCUUUGCUAGAGUGCAGAAGGGGCAAUCGGAAUUCUUGGUGUAGCGGUGAAAUGCGUAGAUAUCAAGAGGAACACCUGAGGUGAAGACGGGUUGCUGGGCUGACACUGACGCUGAGGCGCGAAGGCUAGGGUAGCAAACGGGAUUAGAUACCCAUGUAGUCCCUGAGCGGGCUGGCAAGGCGCAU